rnacentral:rRNA from 1 species
GACGAACGCUGGCGGCGUGCCUAACACAUGCAAGUCGAACGAGGUCCAUCCUUCGGGAGAAGACCUAGUGGCGAACGGGUGAGUAACACGUGAAGAACCUGCCCCGAAGACCGGGAUAACCCUCCGAAAGGAGAGCUAAUACCGGAUACCCCCACCGAACCGCAUGGUUUGGUGAGGAAAUGGAUUCCGCUUCGGGAGGGCUUCGCGGCCUAUCAGCUAGUUGGUGGGGUAACGGCCACCAAGGCAUCGACGGGUAGCUGGUCUGAGAGGACGAUCAGCCACACUGGGACUGAGACACGGCCCAGACUCCUACGGGAGGCAGCAGUGGGGAAUCUUGCGCAAUGGGCGAAAGCCUGACGCAGCAACGCCGCGUGGGGAUGAAGGCUCUCGGGUUGUAAACCCCUUUCAGCAGGGACGAAUCAAGACGGUACCUGCAGAAGAAGCCCCGGCUAACUACGUGCCAGCAGCCGCGGUAAU